rnacentral:rRNA from 1 species
UCGUAACAAGGUCUCCGUUGGUGAACCAGCGGAGGGAUCAUUACCGAGUUUACAACUCCCAAACCCCUGUGAACAUACCUUAAUGUUGCCUCGGCGGAUCAGCCCGCGCCCCGUAAAACGGGACGGCCCGCCAGAGGACCCAAACUCUAAUGUUUCUUAUUGUAACUUCUGAGUAAAACAAACAAAUAAAUCAAAACUUUCAACAACGGAUCUCUUGGUUCUGGCAUCGAUGAAGAACGCAGCAAAAUGCGAUAAGUAAUGUGAAUUGCAGAAUUCAGUGAAUCAUCGAAUCUUUGAACGCACAUUGCGCCCGCUGGUAUUCCGGCGGGCAUGCCUGUUCGAGCGUCAUUUCAACCCUCAAGCCCCCGGGUUUGGUGUUGGGGAUCGGCUCUGCCUUCUGGCGGUGCCGCCCCCGAAAUACAUUGGCGGUCUCGCUGCAGCCUCCAUUGCGUAGUAGCUAACACCUCGCAACUGGAACGCGGCGCGGCCAUGCCGUAAAACCCCAACUUCUGAAUGUUGACCUCGGAUCAGG